rnacentral:rRNA from 1 species
UAAUGGCGAACGAACAGGGAUGAGCUCGGCUUGGAAACUGGGGCCUUGGCCUUGGAUUGUAGCCUCUAGACAUAGCACCAACGGAGGCGCAGGUGUAAGCCUCUUGGAAAAGAGCAUCAACGUGGGUGAGAAUCCUGUGUUUCAUCUGCAGUCCACCGUGCACGGUGCAUGUUCUCAGAGUCGCGUUCCUCGGAAUUGGAGCGUAAAGUGGGUGGUAAAUUUCAUCUAAAGCUAAAUAUAGGCUUGAGACCGAUAGCAAACAAGUACCAUGAGGGAAAGAUGAAAAGGACUUUGAAAAGAGAGUUAAAAGUGCUUGAAAUUGCUGAAAGGGAAGCGAAUGGAACCAGUCCUCUGGCUGAGAUUGCUGCAUGCUUUUGUGUGUGGUGUUUCUCAGCUUGUGAGUCAACCUUUGUUCAUGCUUGAGGAUAGCCUCAGGUUCACGACGUUCCCUCGCGGGGGGGCUCCUGUGCUUGAAGGGACUCAGGCGUGUACUUUGUGUGACAAAAUGGUUCUCUUCGACCCGUCUUGAAACACGGACCAAGGAGUCUAGCACAUGUGCGAGUUCACAGGUGGCAAGCCUGCUUGCGCAAUGAANGUGACAGCUGGGAUUUCUGCACCAGCAACCGACCGAUCAAUUGAGAGAAGUUUGAGUAUGAGCAUAUGUGUUAGGACCCGAAAGA